rnacentral:rRNA from 1 species
UCGAGGAUCUUCGGCAAUGGGCGCAAGCCUGACCGAGCGACGCCGCGUGUGCGAUGAAGGCCUUCGGGUUGUAAAGCACUGUCGAGGGGGAGAAAAGGGCAACCUUGAUCGACCCCUGGAGGAAGCACGGGCUAAGUUCGUGCCAGCAGCCGCGGUAAGACGAACCGUGCGAACGUUGUUCGGAAUCACUGGGCUUAAAGGGCGCGUAGGCGGGCGGUCAAGUCAGAGGUGAAAUCCCACGGCUCAACCGUGGAAGUGCCCCUGAUACUGAUUGUCUCGAGGGAGGUAGGGGCGUGCGGAACUUCCGGUGGAGCGGUGAAAUGCGUAGAUAUCGGAAGGAACACCGAUGGCGAAAGCAGCGCGCUGGACCUCUACUGACGCUGAGGCGCGAAAGCCAGGGGAGCAAACGGGAUUAGAUACCCCCGUAGUCC